rnacentral:rRNA from 1 species
GCACAAGCGGUGGAGUAUGUGGUUUAAUUCGAUGCAACGCGAAGAACCUUACCAGGACUUGACAUCUCUGGAAUCUCCGUUGAAAGGGGGGAGUGCCGUAAGGAACCAGAAGACAGGUGCUGCAUGGCUGUCGUCAGCUCGUGUCGUGAGAUGUUGGGUUAAGUCCCGCAACGAGCGCAACCCUCGUCGUUAGUUGCCAUCAUUAAGUUGGGAACUCUAGCGAGACUGCCGGUGACAAACCGGAGGAAGGUGAGGAUGACGUCAAGUCAGCAUGGCCCUUACGUCCUGGGCGACACACGUACUACAAUGCGAGGGACAGAGAGCAGCCAACCCGCGAGGGAGAGCGAACCUCUUAAACCCUGGCACAGUUCAGAUUGCAGGCUGCAACUCGCCUGCAUGAAGGAGGAAUCGCUAGUAAUCGCAGGUCAGCAUACUGCGGUGAAUCCGUUCCCGGGCCUU